GGCUUAGAGUUUGAUCAUGGCUCAGGAUGAACGCUGGCGGCGUGCCUAACACAUGCAAGUCGAGCGAAGCGCUUAACUUUGAUUCUUCGGAUGAAGAGUUCUGCGACUGAGCGGCGGACGGGUGAGUAACACGUAGGCAACCUGCCUCACACAGGGGGAUAACAGUUAGAAAUGACUGCUAAUACCGCAUAAGCGCACAGGGCCGCAUGGCCCGGUGUGAAAAGCUCCGGCGGUGUGAGAUGGACCUGCGUCUGAUUAGCCAGUUGGCGGGGUAACGGCCCACCAAAGCGACGAUCAGUAGCCGGCCUGAGAGGGUGGACGGCCACAUUGGGACUGAGACACGGCCCAGACUCCUACGGGAGGCAGCAGUGGGGAAUAUUGCACAAUGGGGGAAACCCUGAUGCAGCGACGCCGCGUGAGCGAAGAAGUAUCUCGGUAUGUAAAGCUCUAUCAGCAGGGAAGAAAAUGACGGUACCUGACUAAGAAGCACCGGCUAAAUACGUGCCAGCAGCCGCGGUAAUACGUAUGGUGCAAGCGUUAUCCGGAUUUACUGGGUGUAAAGGGAGCGUAGACGGAGAAGCAAGUCUGGAGUGAAAGCCCGGGGCUCAACCCCGGGACUGCUUUGGAAACUGUUUGUCUAGAGUGCCGGAGAGGUAAGCG
rnacentral:rRNA from 1 species